AUGUCAGCCCGCCACUCUAUUAGUCCAAAAUUUGUCGACAAUGACAAAGAGAAAUACUUGACAUAUAAUUUAAUGGAUCCAAAUAUGGUUACUCGCCAUGUCAUUGAUGUCUCGGGUCAAGCGAAGACAUUCAUUUGGAUGAAGGGCUCAGAGGAUUGGGUAAUGAUCAAUGCUCAACCAAAAGCUCAGUGUGAUGUCCAUGCAAUUUGUGGACCUUUCACAAUUUGCACUGAUAAUAAAGUUCCACACUACAACUGUAUGGAGGGCUUCACCAUAACAUCCCCCAAGGACUGGGAGCUAGAAAAUCGAGCAGAUGGGUGCUCAAGAAAUACUCAGUUAGACUGCAUUAGCAACAUAAGCAAAACACACACCACAGACAAGUUCUAUUUUGUACCAUGUGUUAAGUUACCCCAGAAUGCCCCAAAAGUAGAAGCUGCUGCAAGCACGAGUGAGUGCGCACAAAUUUGCCUGAGUAAUUGCUCUUGCACCGCAUACUCCUUCGGUGACAGCAGAUGUUCUAUGUGGCAUAAUGAAUUGCUCAACAUAAGACAACUACAAUGUAGUGACACUACCAAUUCAAAUGGAGGAACUCUUUAUCUUCAUCUUUCUGCUGAAGAUGUACAAAGUUUGAAAAACAACAGAAGAGGGAUAGUUACUGGAGUUGUAAUUGGUACAGGUAUUUCUGCUCUAGGCUUAUUUGCACUCAUCCUCCUACUAAUUGUUUGGAGAAACAAAAACAAGAGAUCUGGUCAAAUACAGAAUAAAUCUGAAGUUUGUGAUGGAAUCACUGCAUUUAGAUACAAUGAUCUUCAACGAGCAACACAUUUUACAGAUAAGUUGGGUGGAGGCAGUUUUGGUUCUGUAUUCAAGGGGUUUAUAAAGGGCUCCAAUGCCAUAGCAGUGAAGUUUCCUUCAGGUGCUUAUCAAGUAGAGAAGCAAUUCAGAGCUGAAGUGAGCUCAAUUGGAGUUGUCCAGCACAUCAAUUUAGUUAAGCUUGUUGGUUUCUGUUGUGAGGGUUCUAAGAGGUUGCUUGUUUAUGAAUACAUGUCAAAUCGGUCUCUUGAUGUCCAUUUAUUUGGAAGCAACUCAAUGUUAAAUUGGACUACUAGGUAUCAGAUAGGCUUAGGUGUCGCAAGAGGGUUGGCCUACUUGCAUGACAGCUAUCGAGACCGCAUCAUACACUGUGAUAUCAAGCCAGAAAACAUACUUCUUGAUGCUUCACGCCUUCCAAAAAUUGUAGACUUUUGGAUGGCAAAGCUUUUAGGAAGGGAUUAUAGCAGAGUAUUGACAACAAUGAGAGAAACUACAGGAUACCUUGCACCUGAAUUGCUUACCGGUGUUCCUAUUACACCAAAAGUCGAUGUUUUUAGCUCCGGGAUGGUGUUGCUAGAAAUAAUAUCUGGAAGGAAGAACUCAUGUCCGUCACGUCCCAGCGGUGGCAACACUGAUGUUUACUUUCCUGUCCAUGCCGCACAUAAGCUUCUUGCAGGAGACGUCGGGACUUUGGUAGAUCACAAGCUACAUGGUAUUGCCAAUCUCGAUGAGGUUGAAAUUGCUUGCAAGGUUGUGGGUUUGUGCCUCCAAGACGAUGAGCUUGAUCGGCCAACAAUGGGACAUGUGGUUCAGAUUCUUGAAGGGCUAGUUGAGAUCACAAUGCCCCCGAUACCAAGACUGCUCCAAGCUAUGGCUGGAAGCUCGCAUUCAACAUGCUCCUUUUUUGUUUCAGGGUUUUAG
rnacentral:rRNA from 1 species